rnacentral:rRNA from 3 species
UCUGGUAAUGAUGGCAGAGAGGUCACACCCGUUCCCAUACCGAACACGGAAGUUAAGCUCUCUAGCGCCGAU